AUUGAACGCUGGCGGCAUGCCUUACACAUGCAAGUCGAACGGUAACAGGUCUUCGGAUGCUGACGAGUGGCGAACGGGUGAGUAAUACAUCGGAACGUGCCCGAUCGUGGGGGAUAACGAAGCGAAAGCUUUGCUAAUACCGCAUAAGAUCUACGGAUGAAAGCAGGGGACCGCAAGGCCUUGCGCGAACGGAGCGGCCGAUGGCAGAUUAGGUAGUUGGUGGGAUAAAAGCUUACCAAGCCGACGAUCUGUAGCUGGUCUGAGAGGACGACCAGCCACACUGGGACUGAGACACGGCCCAGACUCCUACGGGAGGCAGCAGUGGGGAAUUUUGGACAAUGGCGAAAGCCUGAUCCAGCCAUGCCGCGUGCAGGAUGAAGGCCUUCGGGUUGUAAACUGCUUUUGUACGGAACGAAAAGACUCUUUCUAAUAAAGAGGGUCCAUGACGGUACCGUAAGAGUAAGCACCGGCUAACUACGUGCCAGCCGCCGCCGUAACAC
rnacentral:rRNA from 1 species